rnacentral:rRNA from 1 species
UGGUCAAUAGCCUAACGGCUGAACCAGCAACUUGGAUGAAGGUAAAGCUUAGCUUAAUGUAUAACUUAAUAAUACACAUUCGAUUUAUUCGUGUAAAAUUCUAGAUAGUUAUUUGAUAAUGACAUUGUCUAUCUAUAUGUCUUGGCCAACAUACGUGCCAGCAGCCGCGGCAAGACGUUAAAGACUAGUGUUAGUCAUCUUCAAUAGGUUUAAAGCGUACCUAGACGGUAAAUCAAGCCUUAAUCGGGACUAAUUUAACUAGAGUUAGAUGUAAGGGUGCUUAAACGUACUGUUGAGUGUAGAGAUGAAAUUCUUUAAUACCAGAUUAUUGGCACGGGUUUAGGUGAAGGCAUCGCCUUAUGUAAGAACUGACGUUGAGGGACGAAGGCUUUAUUAGCAAAAAGGAUUAGUUACCCAAGUAGCCUAAGCAGAAAAUUAUGAGUGUUAGAGGCUAGAUAUUCUUUAGUCAAUAAAUGAAAGUGUAAGCAUUCCACCUCUAGAGUAAUUUGGCAACAUUGGAAUCGAAAUCAUUAGGCCGUGUUUGAAACCAGUAGUGAAGUAUGUUGUUUAAUUAGAUAUCACACUAAGAACCUUACCACAAUUUGGAUAUUAGACAAGUGCUGCAUGGCUGUCUUUAGUAAAUGUCGUCAGAAGAUGGUUAGUUCCGUUUAAUUAACGUAAACCCUUAUUUUAUUUUAUAUAUAAAGUUGUUCGCCGCAAUAUUGGUUAGAUAAGAGGGACUAGGACAAGUAUUAUGGCCUUAAUAUUGUGGGCUAUA